GACGAACGCUGGCGGCGUGCUUAACACAUGCAAGUCGAACGGAAAGGCCCUGCUUUUGUGGGGUGCUCGAGUGGCGAACGGGUGAGUAACACGUGAGUAACCUGCCCUUGACCUUGGGAUAACUUCAGGAAACUGGGGCUAAUACCGGAUAGGAGCUCCUGCUGCAUGGUGGGGGUUGGAAAGUUUCGGCGGUUGGGGAUGGACUCGCGGCUUAUCAGCUUGUUGGUGGGGUAGUGGCUUACCAAGGCUUUGACGGGUAGCCGGCCUGAGAGGGUGACCGGCCACAUUGGGACUGAGAUACGGCCCAGACUCCUACGGGAGGCAGCAGUGGGGAAUAUUGCACAAUGGGCGGAAGCCUGAUGCAGCAACGCAGCGUGCGGGAUGACGGCCUUCGGGUUGUAAACCGCUUUCGCCUGUGACGAAGCGUGAGUGACGGUAAUGGGUAAAGAAGCACCGGCUAACUACGUG
rnacentral:rRNA from 1 species